rnacentral:rRNA from 1 species
AAUCUUUGACAAAGUGGGAGACCCUGAUCCAGCCAUCCCGCGCGUAUGAUGAAGAACUUCGGGUUGUAAAGUACUUUUGGCAGAGAAGAAAAGGUAUCUCCUAAUACGAGAGACUACUGACGGUUCCUGCAGAAUAAGCAGCGGCUAACUACGUGCCAGCAGCCGCGGUAAUACGUAGGAUGCAAGCGUUAACCGGAAUUACUGGGCGGCAAGCGUGUGUAGGCAGUUCGGAAAUAAAGAUGUGAAAUCCCAGGGCUCAACCUUGGAACUGCAUUUUUAACUGCCGAGCUAGAGUAUGUCAGAGGGGGGUAAAAUUCCACGUGUAGCAGUGAAAUGCGUAGAUAUGUGGAGGAAUACCGAUGGCGAAGGCAGCCCCCUGGGAUAAUACUGACGCUCAGACACGAAAGCGUGGGGAGCAAACA